UUUUGAGAAUAUAAUAAAUAUUUAUUCUACUGAAAAUAAAUUAUUUCUUUUAAUCAUUUCAUAUUUAAUAUUUUUAUGUAGGAAUUAUUUUUUAAAGAAUAUAUCUAUAUAAAUAUAAAUGUUUAUGAAUUUAGUGGGUUUAGUGAAGAGUUUAAGUAUUAAUAAAGAAAGGUUAUACAUUUAUAUAGUUAUUUGGAAAAAAGGAAAGGAGUAGUAUUCAUGUUAAAAAGGAAAGGGGGAAAAUAAAAGAAUAAGAAAAGAAAAGAAGGAAACCUACGUUAUAUCGGUUCUUCCAUCUUCAUUCUCACUAUCAAACACUCACAAUCUUCAUCACACAAGAACACUACCAUCUUCAACCUCUCUAUCUUUCCGGCGCCUCAACUACAACACAAACUUUUUUCACCAUUAAUCUUCCAUAGUAGUGGAUUCCGAUUUCAUUGAGGAGCCGUAUUGACUGCUUGACAUAGUUGAUUUGCUGUAUUUUAAAAGGUACAUGAAGAUUUGCAAGUGGGGUGUGGGCUGAGAGCAACGUUCCACUAACUUAGUUGAAAUAUAGUAGUUCUAUUUCCGCUGCACUAUAUAUAUAUAUAUAU